GUUUUGGUAGAAAGGAAAGCUGGUUGGCAUCUCCCAAUGGAUGGGAACAGCCUUCGGGCUUACCUGUUACCGGCAUAUCGGCCCGUUAAGACUACCUACUUCGGUGGAUCUUCUAACCCAAUUUAAAUUUAUUU